AGAGUUUGAUCAUGGCUCAGGAUGAACGCUGGCGGCGUGCCUAACACAUGCAAGUCGAACGGAGCACUGAGACUUCGGUUUUUGUGCUUAGUGGCGGACGGGUGAGUAACGCGUGAGCAAUCUGCCUUUCAGAGGGGGAUAACGACUGGAAACGGUCGCUAAUACCGCAUAACGUAUUUUGCGGGCAUCUGCGAGAUACCAAAGGAGCAAUCCGCUGAAAGAUGAGCUCGCGUCUGAUUAGAUAGUUGGUGAGGUAACGGCCCACCAAGUCGACGAUCAGUAGCCGGACUGAGAGGUUGAACGGCCACAUUGGGACUGAGACACGGCCCAGACUCCUACGGGAGGCAGCAGUGGGGAAUAUUGCGCAAUGGGGGAAACCCUGACGCAGCAACGCCGCGUGAUCGAAGAAGGUCUUCGGAUUGUAAAGAUCUUUUAUCAGGGACGAAGAAAGUGACGGUACCUGAUGAAUAAGCUCCGGCUAACUACGUGCCAGCAGCCGCGGUAAUACGUAGGGAGCGAGCGUUAUCCGGAUUUACUGGGUGUAAAGGGCGAGUAGGCGGGCUGGUAAGUUGGAAGUGAAAUGUCGGGGCUUAACCCCGGAACUGCUUUCAAAACUGCUGGUCUUGAGUGAUGGAGAGGCAGGCGGAAUUCCUAGUGUAGCGGUGAAAUGCGUAGAUAUUAGGAGGAACACCAGUGGCGAAGGCGGCCUGCUGGACAUUAACUGACGCUGAGGAGCGAAAGCGUGGGGAGCAAACAGGAUUAGAUACCCUGGUAGUCCACGCCGUAAACGAUGGAUACUAGGUGUGGGAGGUAUUGACCCCUUCCGUGCCGCAGUU
rnacentral:rRNA from 1 species